rnacentral:lncRNA from 1 species
CUAGCAUUAAAAUUUAAUCAAGACAUUUAUUAAGGAGCUAUGUUUAGUUUACUUAGAAUUUCAUAAAUUUUGUUUGAAAUGUUAUAAAAUUUUGAAGUCUUAAUAAAUAAAUACUCUAAAAAAUAAAUUUCUAAAUCACACAAUACUAAUAUGUAUGAUAAUUAUUGAUUUUAUACAAAUAAGUUGCUGGACCUUUUAUUUUUUAAAGAUAAAAUAAAAAAAUAAAAAUUAUUUGUAUACAUAUUUUAAAAAUAAUUGAUACAAAAGCAGUAUUUAUGUAAUGCUACUUUAAAAAAUUCUACUUUAAAAAAUUCUAUGCAUAGUUUUGUUAUAUA